CAGGCCUAACACAUGCAAGUCGAACGAGAAAGUGGUAGCAAUACCAUGAGUAAAGUGGCGCACGGGUGAGUAACACGUGACUAACCUGCCCUGGAGUGGGGGAUAACUGAGGGAAACCUUAGCUAAUACCGCAUAAUACCCACGGGUCAAAGGAGCAAUUCGCUCUGGGAGGGGGUCGCGGCCGAUUAGUUAGUUGGCGGGGUAACGGCCCACCAAGACAGUGAUCGGUAUCCGGCCUGAGAGGGCGCACGGACACACUGGAACUGAAACACGGUCCAGACUCCUACGGGAGGCAGCAGUGGGGAAUUUUGCGCAAUGGGGGAAACCCUGACGCAGCAACGCCGCGUGGAGGAUGAAGUCCUUCGGGACGUAAACUCCUUUCGAUCGGGACGAUUAUGACGGUACCGGAUGAAGAAGCCCCGGCUAACUUCGUGCCAGCAGCCGCGGUAAUAC
rnacentral:rRNA from 1 species